AGCUAUCAAUAGAAUUUUUACAAUGCCAGAAUUAUCUCAGCCGUCCAUCAUACUUGACGAUUGAACUUCCACCGUCCGAUCUAUCAGGUCAGUCAAACUAUAAAUUGAAAAUUUCUAAUUUUAUCUCAUUUUUUGUGUUAUUUUCUCUCUCUUCUCAUCAUCUCUCUAUUCUCUCUCCUCCCUUCCGAUUCACCUAAACCCUAAUCUAUCUCAGCCAAAAUCUAUGAUUUUCAGUACGUUUUUAAGAAAAAUGAUCCGAUCAAUCGAUCCCUGAUCCUCUAAAUCAUGUUUUCACCGAUCGAUUUCUUAAAAAAUAGCUUAUAAAAUGUUUCCUCAGAAUUUUUUAUUUUUUAAAAUCAAACAAUCUAUUAUCAUCUAAACCUUUAAAUAUCUUCAAAAAAAUUUCUGAUUUUAUAUUUUUAGAACUGUUGAAUUCUCUUUUAUUUCUUUUCAAUUUGUUUAAUUUUUUGCCGAUCUAUAUUUUCAAAAUUUUUAUAGAUCUAUAUUUUUUUAAAACUCGUUGCAUUUUUAACGGGAUAAAUACAUUUUUGGUACCUGGACUGGGACCCGAUUUACAAUUUGAUACUUAAAGUGAAAAAACUUACAAACUAGUUAUUGUACUCGAAAAUUGUUGUAAUCCGUUAAACAAUAGGGUUUCAUCCCUGUUCCGUUUGAAAAUUUGAUAGGUUAGAUGCAAGGAUGACAUGGUGAUGACUGGGUAACAAAGUUUAAUUGAUGUGUAUUUUCCAUUUAUAAAGGCUGAUUAGCAAAAACUGAAGAUAGAAACAGUGCAAAAAUAAAGAACUCGAUAUUUGGGAGAAAAAAAAUUAAAGUUCUUCUCUCACUCACCAAAAAUCAUCGAAGAGAUCGAACCGAGAGGAUUAAUCCCGCAAGAUCGUUUGGGAGGCUAGGAAUUAGGGUUAGGGUUUGAAUCUGGGAAUCUUUGUUUGGGAAUCUUUGCUAGUGAAUGAGGAAGAUGAAGAAGGGGAUAUCUCUUCUAUAUAUAUAUAUGUGUGUGUGUGUGUGUAUGCUCACCUUGAAAAAUCUGUAUUGAAUUAUUCACAAUCUGAGUCAAUUCUAUGAACUAUAAAAUUACAUAAAUUUACAGGUCAUCUCUCUGUCACUAAUCGAUCAAUUUCUAUGAUUUGUGAAAUGGGAAAUUGAGAAUUCUCUAUUUAGAUAUGUGAAUUCUUUACUCAACUGUUUCAGUCACCGUUUAUCCACCUUUUAAGAACCUUAAAAAGGAUUAUAGAUGUUAGGUCGGUUUCUUCUUUUUCAAGAUUUUGACCUUUACUAGGAAUUUUAAUGGAGGAGCAAUACA
rnacentral:lncRNA from 1 species